UCCAGACUCCUACGGGAGGCAGCAGUGGGGGAUAUUGCACAAUGGGGGAAACCCUGAUGCAGCGACGCCGCGUGAGUGAAGAAGUAUUUCGGUAUGUAAAGCUCUAUCAGCAGGGAAGAAAAAAGACGGUACCUGACUAAGAAGCCCCGGCUAACUACGUGCCAGCAGCCGCGGUAAUACGUAGGGGGCAAGCGUUAUCCGGAUUUACUGGGUGUAAAGGGAGCGUAGACGGCAAUACAAGUCGGAAGUGAAAUACCCGGGCUCAACCUGGGAACUGCUUUGGAAACUGUAUGGCUGGAGUGCUGGAGAGGUAAGCGGAAUUCCUAGUGUAGCGGUGAAAUGCGUAGAUAUUAGGAGGAACACCAGUGGCGAAGGCGGCUUACUGGACAGUAACUGACGUUGAGGCUCGAAAGCGUGGGGAGCAAACAGGAUUAGAUACCCUUGUACC
rnacentral:rRNA from 1 species